rnacentral:lncRNA from 1 species
CUGGAGUUCAGUGGCACAGUCAUGGCUCACUGCAGCUUCAACCUCCAAGGCUCAAUUGAUCCCCGCGCCUCAGCCUCCCGAGUAGCUGGGACUACAAAUCCUGAAGUCAACCAGGAACUGGUUGGCUCUUGAUGAAGAAAUAUUUAACAUCAGAGUAAGUGUUCUAGAGAUUAAUGGCUGCUGUUUGGCAAGGUCCAUAGACGUCCUUUCCUGCCAAUACAAAUAUAUACAUUGUUGAAGCACAAGACUAUAUCCACAGAUAGGAUUACAUGUUAACUGAAAAGAUUCAAGAUAUAAUGAGGCACGUGAAAGAUGCAGAAGACACAGCUUCUCUCAGAAGUUUUUUUGGGCAACAAGGUGAAACCCCUUUGAUGGUCUUCAGAAAAAAUGAAAGUAAGAUUUUAACCU